rnacentral:rRNA from 1 species
UACAGAGGUCUCAAGCGUUGUCCGGAGUUACUGGGCGUAAAGCGCACGCAGGCGGUCUUGUCAGUCUGUAGGGACAGGGCACAGCUCAACUGUGUCAGGCUUAUGGAAACUGCAAGACUUGAGGGCUUCAGAGGGAUGGGGAAUUCCGGGUGGAGUGGUGAAAUGCGUAGAGAUCCGGAAGAACACCAAAGGCGAAGGCACCAUCCUGGGGAGUCACUGACGCUCGGGUGCGAAAGCUAGGGGAGCGAACGGG